rnacentral:lncRNA from 1 species
AGGAGCCUGGUGGAGUCGGCCACAGAGGAAAGGGUUUAAUUCAUCCUCGCUACGUUUCCCACACAUGCUGGGGAGUACCAUACACGCCAGCAUUGCACUGGCUUCUCCUGGGUUGACCAGAAGUUUCUGUUGUGCCUGGUGUGGGCAGUUGUAAAUUACAGGCUUUGAGUCAGAAGAAACCUUAAGCCCACCUGAUGCUCUCGGCUCCGACUGUGCUCAGGCUCUGGCUCAGCAGCCUGUGCUCCCCGGCGUGUCCCCGCCUCACUUCGUCUAGGGGGUUGCUCUCCUGGAGGGCAAGGAGGCUGCAGUGUCACGGCUGCACCUCCCCGCACGAUUCGGCAGGACGUGCCCAGACGGCAGGACUGAAUUUUCCUGUUGUGGCAAAAUUAAAUUCUGAGCAAGUGUUAUAGGAGGAGUUUUGUCUGUAAACGUUUAUUCAAGAGGCAAAGGUAGCCUUUCUGGCUGAAAACUAGAAACUCAUUCUAUUUAACUAAUGUGUAGUUUGCGGGGAGGUGGGAUUUAGAUGUAUUUAAACCCCACCCCUGAACUAUUGUGAGCUUUCUAGUGUGUGAAGCCAAGAUACCGAACAAGUCGGCAAGAGACAAAAACGGGGAGAUGCCAGGACGAGCAUCCGUUCUGCUCCGCAGUGGCCCGGGGGCCGGUGUUCCCGCAGACACCAGCAGCUGAUCCGCGCACAGAACAGGACCCCGGCCACGGUGAGGAAGAGAGAACGCGCACGCUUCAGAUCUCUGGUCGGUAGGUGGCUGGAACGCCAGGUGUGGGGCGGGCGCUGCAGAGCCUCCCACGCGGCACAGGCUUCUGCCUGCUUUUCAACCACGGCUUUGCUGCUUUGACAUUUCUGGAAUCAAGGUGCACCUCAUAAGCAACACCAACGAAAAUCAAGUAGGGACGAGGCUGUGGCUGACGGGCAGGUGCAGACCACACCCUCUCCACGACCUGGGGCGUGUCUGUGGCUGACGGGCAGGUGCAGACCUCACCCUCUCCACGACCUGGGGCGUGUCUGUGGCUGACGGGCAGGUGCAGACCACACCCUCUCCACGACCUAGGGUGUGGCUGUGGCUGACGGGCAGAUAGUGAGUAAAUUGAGGCACUUCAGGUGCUCCCCGGAGCGGAAGGCCGAGGGGCCCUCAGGGUCCCACAGACACUGGGGGGCAGUGGCUGACACGUCAGGAAGGGCUGGCCUCAGCGCGUGGCAUUUAAAGCCCCCAGGAGAGGUGGGCGAGGAGGGUAGGAACAGCUACAGGUGCUGAGAAUUCCC